CUGGAGAAGCGUCCUCAGCGAC
rnacentral:siRNA from 1 species